GAAGACGACGAGGUAGAUAGGUUGGGGGUGGAAGUGCAGUAAUGCAUGGAGCUGACCAAUACUAAUCGGUCGAGGGCUUAUCCUA
rnacentral:rRNA from 1 species